UACGGGGGGGCAAGCGUUGUUCGGAAUUACUGGGCGUAAAGGGCUCGUAGGCGGCCAACUAAGUCAUACGUGAAAUCCCUCGGCUUAACCGGGGAACUGCGUCUGAUACUGGAUGGCUUGAGAUUGGGAGAGGGAUGCGGAAUUCCAGGUGUAGCGGUGAAAUGCGUAGAUAUCUGGAGGAACACCGGUGGCGAAGGCGGCAUCCUGGACCAACACUGACGCUGAGACACGAAAGCCAGGGGAGCGAACGGG
rnacentral:rRNA from 1 species